GUGAACGCUGGCGGUAGGCCUAACACAUGUAAGUCGAACGGCAGCACAGUAAGAGCUUGCUCUUACGGGUGGCGAGUGGCGGACGGGUGAGGAAUACAUCGGAAUCUACUUUUUCGGGGGGGAUAACGUAGGGAAACUUACGCUAAUACCGCAUACGACCUACGGGUGAAAGCAGGGGAACUUCGUACCUUGCGCGAUUGAAUGAGCCGAUGUCGGAUUAGCUAGGUGGCGGGGUAAAGGCCCACCAAGGUGACGAUCCGUAGCUGGGCUGAGAGGAUGAGAAGCCACACUGGAACUGAGACACGGUCCAGACUCCUACGGGAGGCAGCAGUGGGGAAUAUUGGACAAUGGGCGCAAGCCUGAUCCAGCCAUACCGCGUGGGUGAAGAAGGCCUUCGGGUUGUAAAGCCCUUUUGUUGGGAAAGAAAAGCAGCAGGUUAAUACCCCGCUGUUCUGACGGUACCCAAAGAAUAAGCACCGGCUAACUUCGUG
rnacentral:rRNA from 1 species